rnacentral:rRNA from 1 species
GUGCCACCAGCCGCGGUAAUACGUAGGUGGCAAGCGUUAUCCGGAAUUAUUGGGCGUAAAGCGCGCGCAGGUGGUUUCUUAAGUCUGAUGUGAAAGCCCACGGCUCAACCGUGGAGGGUCAUUGGAAACUGGGAGACUUGAGUGCAGAAGAGGAAAGUGGAAUUCCAUGUGUAGCGGUGAAAUGCGUAGAGAUAUGGAGGAACACCAGUGGCGAAGGCUUUUUUUUCGUUUGUAACCAACCCCUGUGGCCCCGACAGCGGGGGGGCCCCAACCAGGGUUUAGAUCCCGUGGUAGUCC